CAGUCGCCGCGGUAAUACAGAGGGUGCGAGCGUUAAUCGGAUUUACUGGGCGUAAAGCGUGCGUAGGCGGCUAAUUGAGUCGGAUGUGAAAUCCCCGAGCUUAACUUGGGAAUUGCAUUCGAUACUGGUUAGCUAGAGUGUGGGAGAGGAUGGUAGAAUUCCAGGUGUAGCGGUGAAAUGCGUAGAGAUCUGGAGGAAUACCGAUGGCAAAGGCAGCCAUCUGGCCUAACACUGACGCUGAGGUACGAAAGCAUGGGGAGCAAACAGGAUUAGAUACCCGAGUAGUCCCUGUCUCUUAUAU
rnacentral:rRNA from 1 species